UACGUAGGGUGCAAGCGUUGUCCGGAAUUAUUGGGCGUAAAGAGCUCGUAGGCGGUUUGUCGCGUCGGCUGUGAAAACCCGGAGCUCAACUCCGGGCCUGCAGUCGAUACGGGGCAGACUUGAGUGUUGCAGGGGAGACUGGAAUUCCUGGUGUAGCGGUGAAAUGCGCAGAUAUCAGGAGGAACACCGAUGGCGAAGGCAGAUCUCUGGGCCGUAACUGACGCUGAGGAGCGAAAGCAUGGGGAGCGAACAGG
rnacentral:rRNA from 1 species